GAUGAAACGCAGCGAAAUGCGAUAAGUAAUGCGAAUUGCAGAAUCCGUGAGUCAUCGAAUCUUUGAACGCACAUUGCGCCCGCCAGUAUUCUGGCGGGCAUGCCUGUCCGAGCGUCAUUUCAACCAUCAAGCCCCGGGCUUGUGUUGGGGACCUGCGUCCGACGCAGGCCCUGAAAACCAGUGGCGGGCUCGCUGUCCACACCGAGCGUAGUAACUAACCUCGCUAUGGAGUGGCGCGGGCGCCUGCCGUAAAACCCCCAAUUUCACAAGGUUGACCUCGGAUCAGGUAGGAAUACCCGCUGAACUUAAGCAUAUCAAUAAGCGGAGGA
rnacentral:misc_RNA from 1 species